UACGUAGGGUGCGAGCGUUGUCCGGAAUUAUUGGGCGUAAAGAGCUCGUAGGCGGUGUGUCACGUCGGCCGUGAAAACCUGCAGCUUAACUGUGGGCGUGCGGUCGAUACGGGCAUCACUGGAGUUCGGCAGGGGAGACUGGAAUUCCUGGUGUAGCGGUGAAAUGCGCAGAUAUCAGGAGGAACACCGGUGGCGAAGGCGGGCUUCUGGGCCAUCACUGACGCUAAGACGCGAAAGUUAGGGGAGCAAACAGG
rnacentral:rRNA from 1 species